rnacentral:rRNA from 1 species
UACGUGAGGGUGCAAGCGUUGUCCGGAAUUAUUGGGCGUAAAGAGCUCGUAGGCGGUUUGUCGCGUCUGCUGUGAAAACUCGGGGCUUAACCCCGAGCCUGCAGUGGAUACGGGCAGACUAGAGGUAGGUAGGGGAGAAUGGAAUUCCCGGUGUAGCGGUGAAAUGCGCAGAUAUCGGGAGGAACACCAGCGGCGAAGGCGGACAUCCUGGACUGGUCCUGACACUCAUGACGCGAAAG